rnacentral:rRNA from 1 species
UGGGGAAUAUUGCACAAUGGGCGCAAGCCUGAUGCAGCCAUGCCGCGUGUAUGAAGAAGGCCUUCGGGUUGUAAAGUACUUUCAGCGGGGAGGAAGGCGAUAAGGUUAAUAACCUUGUCGAUUGACGUUACCCGCAGAAGAAGCACCGGCUAACUCCGUGCCAGCAGCCGCGGUAAUACGGAGGGUGCAAGCGUUAAUCGGAAUUACUGGGCGUAAAGCGCACGCAGGCGGUCUGUCAAGUCGGAUGUGAAAUCCCCGGGCUCAACCUGGGAACUGCAUUCGAAACUGGCAGGCUAGAGUCUUGUAGAGGGGGGUAGAAUUCCAGGUGUAGCGGUGAAAUUCGUAGAGAUCUGGAGGAAUACCGGUGGCGAAGGCGGCCCCCUGGACAAAGACUGACGCUCAGGUGCGAAAGCGUGGGGAGCAAACA